AUGGAGCUGUCUUUCAGUUAUUCUUCCAGUGCAUUCUUCCAGUUAUCGUCAUACAUUUAAACAAAUGGAUGGUCAAGGGAAGCAGCAUCGUUCUUCGGUGUGGUAGAGCUAGCUGACUCUGCCUCCCCAGUCCUGAACCAGUAUGACUGCUGGAAUGAAGCUGCACCACUGGGAACAUCCUCCAUGACCCAUUCAAAGCCCUUGGGGUAGUAUAUCCCUGUCCUUGGGUGUGGCACCCACAAUGAUGUUUCUGCUGAUCGCACUUCUGCAGGCUCCAGUCGCCUCACAAGGUUCAGAGUGGAUGACUAGUUACCGGAGGAGAGCGGUCGAUUUCGCAAGUGCAUGGCAGCCCAUUGACUCAGGCUGCAGAGGUUAACAAGAUGCAGUGGUGGUUAUCCUUGGUAGGAACCAGCUGAUGGCAGUUCCCCCUUGCUUGGUACCUUCCUCAUCCUCAACCCAGGUAUUUAUACACUAGUUGUAGCCUCAGCAGAUCCAAUGCCACCACCAAUCCAUCAUGGUCCUGGCAAUAAAACAUACACCGUACAUUCAUUGGAUUAUGGAGAAUUGGACACGCUUAGCUAACUAGGAGUGGUGAUUUAUUUCUGGUCUAGGGGAUUUACAAACGAUUUUGUUUGCUGUCGAUAGCUUCCGAUUGGGCAACUAAAAUGAUGGUUUCCAGCCUCUGAUUGGACCCCUCUGGACAAAACACCAUUGGAACUGAUGCUCCCAGAAUCUGAAGUCAAUUGUCGCGAUAAAUGCAGCCUGGGACUGUACUGUUGCUACUUUGUGGAAUCGUGCGACAGCACCACCGAUGCUGUAGCUAGCAUUAUUAGCAAAGAGGAACCUUGGCUUUUAGAACAAAAGAUGGGAACAUGACACAACCAGUAGAAAAGCUAUUACUGAAAUUCCUUGGUGGCGAUGCUAUAGUUAGCUGCAAAUAAUUUUGUUAUAAACUUAUUGUGGAUUCCUGAUGAACAAGAUUGACAUGUGGACCCAAUGAUAGGUGAAUCAGGGUGUAAAUCCAUCUAGAAUUGAUUUCUAGUGCAGAUUUCAAGCUACAUAUCCUCACGUUAAAGAUUGUCUCUUUUACUUACUGGAUGGUUGUCUCCAGAAUUUCCGCACGCGGUACUUCUAACCUGAUCCGUCUUCCCCAUACAUUCUAUCUGAUCUGAUCUGGUGAGCACCGUCAACAACCGUUUUCUUCUGCACAAUAAUGGAGAGCACGGGAUCUGAUUCUUCCUUCCUGAAUGUAUAGCUGUGGUGUAAAACUAAAGAUGAAGCAUUUUAUUGCUUCUUGUCACUUCAUGCUGCUAUUUUCCCAGACCCCCCAGAAUUUACCAUGCAGUCAUAGGAAGCACGGCACUAAGAUUUGCGAGAAAAGCAUGAAUAGGAGUUGUACUAGGACGUGUCUGGGAGAGGAAUAAAGCUCCUGAUUUUGUUCUCAUCGGCUUCGGUUCAUCUGUUCGGUCCGUUGCUUUCAUGGAAGGGCAGGAAAUGUUCAGUGCUGGUUGGAUAUCUUGCCAUACACAUCAAGAUAACCAAGUGAGAUCUCAGUUUGCUUGUCAAAAUAUGUUGAUCAAGUCGUAGACUAUUGACGUGUGUUUUUGGCGAUUCGUUUUCCAGAAGAAAUUAUCCUGGAAGCUGUCAUCUGGAAUAGAAAAUUUUGGUUGUUACUCCCUCUGACUGUAAGAACAGUUAUCGAACUAAAUUUGUGUGGACGCUGGAACAAGCGUUGAAA